UUGAACGCUGGCGGCAGGCCUAACACAUGCAAGUCGAACGGUAACAGGAAACAGCUUGCUGUUUCGCUGACGAGUGGCGGACGGGUGAGUAAUGUCUGGGAAACUGCCUGAUGGAGGGGGAUAACUACUGGAAACGGUAGCUAAUACCGCAUAACGUCGCAAGACCAAAGAGGGGGACCUUCGGGCCUCUUGCCAUCGGAUGUGCCCAGAUGGGAUUAGCUAGUAGGUGGGGUAACGGCUCACCUAGGCGACGAUCCCUAGCUGGUCUGAGAGGAUGACCAGCCACACUGGAACUGAGACACGGUCCAGACUCCUACGGGAGGCAGCAGUGGGGAAUAUUGCACAAUGGGCGCAAGCCUGAUGCAGCCAUGCCGCGUGUAUGAAGAAGGCCUUCGGGUUGUAAAGUACUUUCAGCGGGGAGGAAGGGAGUAAAGUUAAUACCUUUGCUCAUUGACGUUACCCGCAGAAGAAGCACCGGCUAACUCCGUGCCAGCAGUCGCGGUAAUACGGAGGGUGCAAGCGUUAAUCGGAAUUACUGGGCGUAAAGCGCACGCAGGCGGUUUGUUAAGUCAGAUGUGAAAUCCCCGGGCUCAACCUGGGAACUGCAUCUGAUACUGGCAAGCUUGAGUCUCGUAGAGGGGGGUAGAAUUCCAGGUGUAGCGGUGAAAUGCGUAGAGAUCUGGAGGAAUACCGGUGGCGAAGGCGGCCCCCUGGACGAAGACUGACGCUCAGGUGCGAAAGCGUGGGGAGCAAACAGGAUUAGAUACCCUGGUAGUCCACGCCGUAAACGAUGUCGACUUGGAGGUUGUGCCCUUGAGGCGUGGCUUCCGGAGCUAACGCGUUAAGUCGACCGCCUGGGGAGUACGGCCGCAAGGUUAAAACUCAAAUGAAUUGACGGGGGCCCGCACAAGCGGUGGAGCAUGUGGUUUAAUUCGAUGCAACGCGAAGAACCUUACCUGGUCUUGACAUCCACGGAAGUUUUCAGAGAUGAGAAUGUGCCUUCGGGAACCGUGAGACAGGUGCUGCAUGGCUGUCGUCAGCUCGUGUUGUGAAAUGUUGGGUUAAGUCCCGCAACGAGCGCAACCCUUAUCCUUUGUUGCCAGCGGUCCGGCCGGGAACUCAAAGGAGACUGCCAGUGAUAAACUGGAGGAAGGUGGGGAUGACGUCAAGUCAUCAUGGCCCUUACGACCAGGGCUACACACGUGCUACAAUGGCGCAUACAAAGAGAAGCGACCUCGCGAGAGCAAGCGGACCUCAUAAAGUGCGUCGUAGUCCGGAUUGGAGUCUGCAACUCGACUCCAUGAAGUCGGAAUCGCUAGUAAUCGUGGAUCAGAAUGCCACGGUGAAUACGUUCCCGGGCCUUGUACACACCGCCCGUCACACCAUGGGAGUCAGUAACGCCCGAAGUCAGUGACCGAACCGAAAGGACGGAGCUGCCGAAGGCGGGACCGAUGACUGGGGUG
rnacentral:rRNA from 1 species